UACGAAGGGUGCAAGCGUUAUCCGGAUUCAUUGGGUUUAAAGGGUGCGUAGGUGGGGCGAUAAGUCAGUGGUGAAAUCCUGCGGCUUAACCGUAGAAUUGCCAUUGAUACUGUCGCUCUUGAGUACGCUUGACGUGGGCGGAAUGUGCCGUGUAGCGGUGAAAUGCUUAGAUAUGGCACAGAACACCGAUAGUGAAGACAGCUCACGAAGGCGAAACUGACACUGAGGCACGAAAGCGUGGGGAUCGAACAGGAUUAGAUACCCUGGUAGUCCACGCCGUAAACGAUGAUCACUCGUGAUUGGCGAUAUACGGUCAGUCACCUAGCGAAAGCGUUAAGUGAUCCACCUGGGGAGUACGAUCGCAAGAUUGAA
rnacentral:rRNA from 1 species